rnacentral:lncRNA from 1 species
AGAAGUCUCAAACAAGACUUCUGCUCUGCUCACUGCUUAUGUCCGGGAAAGCAGUGAGUAGAAACAGACAGAGGGGAACCCCACGUCGCUGCACGGGAGCUACCUUUAAUGGAACAAUGAGAAUUUCUGGAUUAUGGAAAUGAUGAAGGAAAAGUUGCAAUUUUGUUCAUCUACUGUAAACAGACACCUUCCUUAUAGACUUCCCAGCUCAGAUCCUACUUCCUAUGUGGGACUUCUCCAAAUUUCUGAUGACAAUAUCACAGUGACCACCCAGUGGCUGUCAUCUCCAACAAUCGUUUACAGAGAAGGAGAGGGCAUCCCAAAACCGCUGAUAGCUCAUUGGAAGAUUGAAGCAAGGCAUGGCAAGUAUUACCACGGCGCGCAGUG